rnacentral:rRNA from 1 species
GUGAGUAACACGUGGGUAACCUGCCCUGUACUCUGGGAUAAGCCUGGGAAACUAGGUCUAAUACCGGAUAUGACCUGCCACUGCAUGGUGGUGGGUGGAAAGUUCCGGCGGUACGGGAUGGACCCGCGGCCUAUCAGCUUGUUGGUGGGGUAAUGGCCUACCAAGGCGACGACGGGUAGCCGGCCUGAGAGGGUGACCGGCCACACUGGGACUGAGACACGGCCCAGACUCCUACGGGAGGCAGCAGUGGGGAAUAUUGCACAAUGGGCGAAAGCCUGAUGCAGCGACGCCGCGUGAGGGAUGACGGCCUUCGGGUUGUAAACCUCUUUCAGCGGGGACGAAGGGCAACUGACGGUACCCGCAGAAGAAGCACCGGCUAACUACGUGCCAGCAGCCGCGGUAAUACGUAGGGUGCGAGCGUUGUCCGGAAUUAUUGGGCGUAAAGAGCUCGUAGGCGGUUUGUUGCGUCGGCUGUGAAAACUUCACGCUUAACGUGGAGCCUGCAGUCGAUACGGGCAGACUUGAGUUCGGCAGGGGAGACUGGAAUUCCUGGUGUAGCGGUGAAAUGCGCAGAUAUCAGGAGGAACACCGGUGGCGAAGGCGGGUCUCUGGGCCGAUACUGACGCUGAGGAGCGAAAGCGUGGGGAGCGAACAGGAUUAGAUACCCUGGUAGUCCACGCCGUAAACGGUGGGUGCUAGGUGUG